GGAAUAUUGGGCAAUGGAGGCAACUCUGACCCAGCGACGCCGCGUGCGGGAUGAAGGCCUUCGGGCUGUAAACCGCUUUCAGUAGGGGAGAAGCGAAAGUGACGGUACCUACAAAAGAAGCACCGGCUAACUAUGUGCCAGCAGCCGCGGUAAUACAUAGGGUGCAAGCGUUGUCCGGAAUUAUUGGGCGUAAAGAGCUCGUAGGUCGUUUGUUACGUCGGAUGUGAAAACCUGAGGCUCAACCUCAGGCCUGCAUUCGAUACGGGCAAACUAGAGUUUGGUAGGGGAGACUGGAGUUCCUGGUGUAGCGGUGGAAUGCGCAGAUAUCAGGAGGAACACCAAUGGCGAAGGCAGGUCUCUGGGCCAAUACUGACACUGAGGAGCGAAAGUCUGGGGAGCGAACAGGAUUAGAUACCCUGGUAGUCCAGACCGUAAACGGUGGGCACUAGUUGUGGGAACCUUCCACGGUUUCUGCGACGCAGCUAACGCAUUAAGUGCCCCGCCUGGGGAGUACGAUCGCAAGAUUAAAACUCAAAUGAAUUGACGG
rnacentral:rRNA from 1 species